AUCAAUUUUAUUAGUUGCAUGGAAUGUAGAAUUUCAAGUGCUAAAUUAGUUCGAUUUUAAUUAUUUAAAUUUUGAAGUUUAAAAAUUACGUAAAAUCUUGAAAUAAUACUUUAAAAUUUGGAUGUAGUACGUAAAAAUGCUUUGAAAAAUGAAAAAUGUCCUUAAGACCAAAAAUUCCAUAAAAAACAAAAUAAAAUUCGGAAAUUGGAAUAUCCAUUCAAAAGAACAUGAACAUAUGAUUUGUAGUAAAACUAGAAACGUAGUACCAUGGUGACCAUUGAGAAUAAUGCACUUUGCAUUAAAAUCCUGGUCCUAUUAUUUAUCAGUUGUCACAAAAUCGAUUUCUUCGUUGUCCUUUCUGACUUUUUAUCUGUAAGCACCAUUUUAAACUAAUUGCUUUUUACCUAUAUUGUUUUGGUAAAUUCAAACGGGCUGCUGUGUAGAGUAUUACUUGCAUUCCAAAAAAGGACGUAAGUAAUAAGCACCGCUCUUUCGAUUUCGUAAACCGUUAAAAUUGAUGAUCAUCAUAAGCAUAUCUGAAUUUGGAUGAAUUCAUAUUUAUGUCACACGUUUUACAAAUCAAAAUACUCAAAUGCCAAAAUUUUAUAUAUUUAAAUACGAAAAUCUAUACAGUAAAAUUUCGAGAUCUGAGAUUUCAAGAGGGACAUGUUGGUUACUAUACACUAAUGACCCAACCACAUUUUUGCAAGUGCCAAUUGUUAAGUAGUGAGAAGUUAGGCUUAUUUUAAUAAAAUAACGAAUACAUAAUAAAUUAUGAGCUUAAUAAUAUUUUUUCAAUUUUAUUAAAUUUCUCAAUACAUCUACAGUAUAAUAUUAAA